AAAAAGGUAUGCAUGCGCCCGAUUUUCGCCGUUACAUGUUGCAGCCUAAUUUUGGAUCGAGAAUUAUGUGCGACGAAGAUGGCCGUUAAUACUAGUUCUACUACUUUAAGAACACGGGUCAGAUUUGGACAAUGACUUCGAAGGCAUUCGCAGUAGACCAAACAGAGAAAGAGAGAGACACAAAACCACCUGUCUCGGUGUCACACAUGAGGAGUUGAGGAGGAGAUGAAGUCGGUGAAUAUGACCUGGCCUGGGGGAGUUUCCAGAAGAAGGCCCAGAAUCGCCGGAUGCCAGGAGUGGAGAUCCUUCGUUGCUGCCCUACAUGCUAGGAGGCAUCGGGCAGUAGAUGCUGUAAUUUGAAACGGAAGGUGUCCUGCCAAUAAAUUUUCAUCCUACCUGAACUGCCUUGCCUGCCUGCACCCAGUCAUCUGUUCCUGAGCAUUUUCUAUUUUUCAUUAUCGUUCGUUUCGGCCUGUAUUGAAUUGAAUUACACAUUGAUUGGUGGAGCUGCUAAGUUGGCAUUACAGGGCCACACCGGGGUAUGAUCCUUGGGGUUGAACAUCAUGACUGCUAGUUGGUCGGCGAAGGUGAUGCGAUCGAUCAAUGUCGCAUGGAGUAAGAUCGAUACCAAUCUGCUUUGCUACAUUUCGAACAAUCUCAUACGGAUACGGAUAUUAUUGCGACAGGAGUACUGCUCGAUGUGGUCAAGCCUAUUUGACAAAGCAUUAUGGUGUUAGUCAUCUUAUCAGAAACCGAUUUUUCAAAAUCACGGAGUUGCUUCAAUUUGGUAUCGAUAGAUAUUUCAAGAACGUUCCAUUGCCACGGCCACCGCUCUUUGAACGACUGUAUCAAUAUGAUCUAGGUAUGCUGGGCUUUGUUUAGAUCCAGUUAAUGAUUAAGCAGAGGAUUGUGUACAUGCGUUAGCCGAGUGCAAGCGGCCUCUUGAUCUGGUGGAUAUCUUAGACAUGUUAGAGAUUACGUAAUGAUGUAAUUGAAAAGUGGGAUGGGCUGUGCAUCUGCCAACUCACCAGUCAACCAAUUAGAGACGGCCUUCCAAAGUGACACAGCACGAAAAUAUCAAUACGGGACUGGUCUAGUCAACACAUCGAUCCUAAAAAAACCAUGGAGACCGCAGACGCAAAAUGACUUCCAUACAUAAAGAUAUGAUGCACAAUUUCCAGUGGGUUCAAAACACUGAACACAUGCUAUGCUGAUACACAGACUAUCAUAAGAACUUUAUCAAGCAUAGGAAAUCUGGUAUGAAAUCUCUCAGCUCACAUAAAAAGCCUACGUAGCUACAUGUAGGGAAGAAAAUGCAUAAUUGCUGAGAAAUGAGCAAAAUAAGCAUGUAAUUCUAUCAAAUGUCAGGUAUUUUUUAAUCGAUUAUAAUACACUGUCCCACAAACGCUUUUCUGUGUUUAUAGCGAUCAUCAGAAUUAUCGAUUUAAGUUUAAAAAUUCAUGACUUUACAAAGAUACAAGUUUACAUUAAUGUACCAGAUGUAGAUUAUGUACAAUAUAUUGACAAUUAACUUUGAUUUUAUAGAUUUCCUCAAGACAUAAUUGUUUGCUGCAACUACUGUCUUUUCCUUCUAAGUGAUAUUGUAAUACAACAGUUCCACAAACUAAUUUCAUCAGACUUAUUAAUGUAUGAUUCUUUCACCCAAAUGCAAGCUUCCAUAAAUCCUGAAAACUUUGCAACUCAGCAACUCAGGUAUUUUUUUUUUACAUACAGUAUAUUUUUUCCUACAUUACAUAGUUGCCUUAAGUUAAUAACCCACCUCUAGUAGUAACUAUCUUAAAAUGAGUUCGAACAGAAUCCAACAGAAUUACCAGCAAAGUGUAUGUAUAUAUAAAAGAUGUGUGCCAAAUAGCUCGGGAAGAAAAUGUGUAAUUGCUGAGAAAUUAGCAAAAUAAGCAUGUAAUUCUAUCAAAUGUCGGGUAUUUUUCGAAUCAAUCAUAAUACACUGUCCUGUCCCACAUAUGCUUUUCUGUGUUAGUGAUCAUCAGAAUGAUUGAUUUUACAUGUAAGUUCAAAAUUCAUGGUUUUACAAAGAUACAAGUUUACAUUAAUUUACCAGGGCCCCGUCUUACAAAGAGUUAUGGUUGAUCCGAUCAAUCGCAACUAUGAACGGUCAGCAACGUUAACAUCUAUUAAGCAUGUUUGUUCAAAAUAUUUUCUAGCUAUGAUGUAUGUCCAUGCCUUCAUUGUUUUCUCAAAAUUCGCUGCACUUCUCUUUGCAUAUAAAGGACAUUGUGCGAACUUCUCUUAGAAAAAAAUUAUGACACUGAUGGAUUUCCAUAGAGUUAUGAUUGAUCGGAUCAAUCUUAACUCUUUGUAAGACGGGGCCCAGAUCUAGAUUAUGUACAAUAUUUUGACAAUUAACCUUAAUUUAAAAGACUUUCCGAAGAAAUAAUUGUUUGCUGCAACUACUGUCUUUUACCCCUAAGUGAUAGUGUAAUACAACCCAAACUUUUCAUAAGAAUUAAUGUACAUGUAUGAUUCUUUCACCCAAAUGCAAGCUUCCAUAAAUCCUGAAAUUAUUCCAACUCAGGUAUUAUUUUUUUUACAUACAGUAUAUUUUUACCUACAUUAAAUAGUUGUCUAAAGUUGAAGGUAUAUUUAAUUACAAUUUCAACGAAAAAGCUUUAUUCUUGGAGAUCAUUAUGCCUCUGUUGUGUAUUAAUGUGUAUUUAUACAAUUGUAUGUAUUGGUAUACCAAACAUUGUAAUUUCAUUCCUUUGACCCUAAUACUGCAUUUUCAUAGAAAAGUGUUUUUUUUUUUCAAUCUAUUUAGAGUUUUCAACUUUUUGUUUUCCUUUUUUUUUUGCUGGUAAUAUCAUGUUAUGCAACUUUUAUUUAUUAAUAGAAUAUUUGCCACGAUUUCGUAAUUGAAA